AGUCACUGGGUACAUGCUCCCCAUGUAGGAUCUCUGUCCUUAAUGUGCUUUACUAUGAAACUUAAAAACAACACUACUAGUCGAACAAUACCCUAUACCUUGUGCGGUUGUGUGAGUGCAGCCUGUUGAAAUCCUUGCUUAGUAUAUACUAAGUUGAUCUUCAGUAUAUGAAGACCUUGUAACAUCAAGUACUGAAUUUAACAAUCUUUUAGCACCAAGGAGUCAAGAAUAUUGCACCAAGAUGGAUUUAUACUUCAUGAUGAGUUAAUAAAUAAGAUCUUGCAACUUAGUCACAAGGGAAAUAUCACUCCAAAAUUAAACAUAUUGAAAGAGAAGCAUAGUUUCAUGGAAAUGUUUGGUGUAUGCUAUUUGUAAAAAAUCAAAAAAAAAAAAAACAGUGGAUUUGAAAGUUGCUAUUAAAAUUUACAU